rnacentral:rRNA from 1 species
CGUAACUAUAACGGUCCUAAGGUAGCGAAAUUCCUUGUGGGGUAAGUUCCCACGCGCACGAAUGGUGUAACGAGUUGGGCGCUGUCUCAAGGAGAGACUCGGCGAAAUUGUAGUAGCGGUGAAGAUGCCGCUUACCCGCAGCAGGACGAAAAGACCCCGGAACCUUUACUGUAAUCUGGUAUUGAGUUUGGGUUUUGUUUGUGUAGCAUAGGUGGGAGGCUUUGACGCCUGGGCGCUAGCUCAGGAAGAGCCACCAGUGAAAUACCACCCUGAUAAUUCUUAGAUUCUAACCUCGAUCUGUCAUCCAGACGAGAAACAGUGCCAGAUGGGCAGUUUGACUGGGGCGGUUCCCUUCUAAAGAAUAACGAAGGGGUUCCAAGGUUACCUCAAGACGGUUGGCAAUCGUCUUCCGAGUGCAUGGGCAUAAGGUAGCUUAACUGCGAGUCCGACAGGACGAGCAGAUACGAAAGUAGGACCAAGUGAUCCGGUGGUAGAUUAUGGGAUUGCCAUCGCUCAACGGACAAUAGGUACUCCGGGGAUAACAGGCUUAUAGCGCUCGAGAGUUCAUAUCGACAGCGCUGUUUGGCACCUCGAUGUCGGCUCAUCGUAUCCUGGGGCUGGACAAGGUCCCAAGGGUCCGGCUGUUCGCCGGUUAAAACGGUACGCGAGCUGGGUUUAGAACGUCGUGAGACAGUUCGGUCUCUAUCCGCUGUGGGCGUUCGAUUGUUGAAGGGGAGCUCUCCUCAGUACGAGAGGACCGGGAGAGACAGACCUCUGGUGUUCCAGUUAUCAUGCCAAUGGUAAUGGCUGGGUAGCCACGUCUGGAAGGGAUAAGCGCUGAAAGCAUCUAAGUGCGAAGCCUCCCUCAAGAUUAGCAAUCGUUUUACUUCGGUAAUGAAGGCAGCUUCUAGACUAGGAGCUUGAUAGGCUGUAUGUGUAAGGCCAGGAAUGGUUUAAGCUAAACAGUACUAAUCUGCCGAAUGCUUGACC